rnacentral:rRNA from 1 species
GAUGAACGCUAGCUACAGGCUUAACACAUGCAAGUCGAGGGGCAGCAUGGUCUUAGCUUGCUAAGGCCGAUGGCGACCGGCGCACGGGUGAGUAACACGUAUCCAACCUGCCGUCUACUCUUGGACAGCCUUCUGAAAGGAAGAUUAAUACAAGAUGGCAUCAUGAGUCCGCAUGUUCACAUGAUUAAAGGUAUUCCGGUAGACGAUGGGGAUGCGUUCCAUUAGAUAGUAGGCGGGGUAACGGCCCACCUAGUCUUCGAUGGAUAGGGGUUCUGAGAGGAAGGUCCCCCACAGUGGAACUGAGACACGGUCCAAACUCCUACGGGAGGCAGCAGUGAGGAAUAUUGGUCAAUGGGCGCAGGCCUGAACCAGCCAAGUAGCGUGAAGGAUGACUGCCCUAGGGGUUGUAAACUUCUUUUAUAAAGGAAUAAAGUCGGGUAUGUAUACCCGUUUGCAUGUACUUUAUGAAUAAGGAUCGGCUAACUCCGUG